rnacentral:rRNA from 1 species
GAUGAACGCUGGCGGCGUGCCUAAUACAUGCAAGUCGAGCGAACGGACGAGAAGCCUGCUUCUCUGAUGUUAGCGGCGGACGGGUGAGUAACACGUGGAUAACCUACCUAUAAGACUGGGAUAACUUCGGGAAACCGGAGCUAAUACCGGAUAAUAUUUUGAACCGCAUGGUUCAAAAGUGAAAGACGGUCUUGCUGUCACUUAUAGAUGGAUCCGCGCUGCAUUAGCUAGUUGGUAAGGUAACGGCUUACCAAGGCAACGAUGCAUAGCCGACCUGAGAGGGUGAUCGGCCACACUGGAACUGAGACACGGUCCAGACUCCUACGGGAGGCAGCAGUAGGGAAUCUUCCGCAAUGGGCGAAAGCCUGACGGAGCAACGCCGCGUGAGUGAUGAAGGUCUUCGGAUCGUAAAACUCUGUUAUUAGGGAAGAACAUACGUGUAAGUAACUGUGCACAUCUUGACGGUACCUAAUCAGAAAGCCACGGCUAACUACGUG